GGGGGUGUAAAGGUUUCGACGUGGGUUUGGAACUUGAGGCUGCGUGUCGUGUUACUCCUCUAGAUCACGUAAAACCUGGGGAAUUAAAAUAAACGCAAACGAAAAUUACGCUUUAGCAGCUUAAUAAUUGCUGCUUGUCCCUCUUAGCCCUCCUGCCGGUUAAGACUGGACAUCAUUUAUGCAGGGAACUACUUCUUGGGCGCCUCGACCUGAAGUGGACUAAUUGAGGCUGGCUGAUGAUGUAGUCUGCCACUGGACGACAUCAAAGGCGAGAUACUAAUACAGAUGGCUACGCACGUAGAUGCAGCGAGGAAUGGGCUUGCGGACAGGGGUUCGACUCCCCUCACUUCCACCA
rfam:Clostridium bartlettii CAG:1329 genomic scaffold, scf43